ACUUGUUUCUUAAGAUGUGACAGGUUUAAUUCCAGGAACAAUAUCCAUGCCAACAUCUACAAUUAUUUGUUCUAUCAUUGUACAAAUCUGCAAGUGUAAGUGGAAAAAAAAAAAGCCACAGGAAGGAAACAACUCCAGCUACAAAUGCCAGACUCACUAUCCCUUUACUCCUUGCAAAAAGCACAGGCAAUCCCAUAAAAUUGCAAAAUAUAUG
rnacentral:misc_RNA from 1 species